rnacentral:rRNA from 1 species
UACGUAGGAGACGAGCGUUGUCCGGAGUUACUGGGCGUAAAGCGUGCGCAGGCGGUUUUGUAAGCCAGAUGUGAAAUCCCCGGGCUUAACCUGGGAAUGGCAUUUGGGACUGCAAGGCUUGAGUGCGGCAGAGGAGACUGGAAUUCCUGGUGUAGCAGUGAAAUGCGUAGAUAUCAGGAGGAACACCGAUGGCGAAGGCAGGUCUCUGGGCUGACACUGACGCUCAUGCACGAAAGCGUGGGGAGCAAACAGG